AACUUCAACAAUACAAUGCCAGCACCAGCAGCACUAGCGGCCGCCGAUAAACUUCUGAUGUGUGCCAUGCAGAGAAAAGCCAUCACUCCGUCAUACAGUCUGUAUGGUCAUCAGGACGUCAGAGACACAGAUUGUCCUGGUUACACGUUAUAUAACGCAAUCCGGAAAUGGACUCACUACAACGUCACAACAGACAAAGAUGGACCUUGCUUGCAAAAGAAAGGUCUGUGUGGACCAGAUUACCUCCCUUGUGAUGGGGAAUAUCAGAAAGGACUGUGUAAUGGGAAUCCUCAAAGACAAUGCUGUGUUCCGAAAACGGAAGUGCUCAUUCCGAAACCAGGAAUUAAAAAUGGAGGUGUUGACUGCUUCGGGAACAUUAUGUUGUUACACCCUACUGGAAGGAAAUCUGGAGGGUUAGCAGAAUCCAGGCGGGAACUUGACGCCCAUGUAAAUCUUGCGGCAAAAUACAAAGACUGCUUCGAACAGAUUGGAGCUGAAAUGUGUUUACACCCAGCUGUUAUAGCAGGCGUAGCAAGUCGGGAGUCUAACUUUGGCUUCUCUCUGACCCCUGAUGGCUGGGGAGAUCACCACAACGCUUACGGAAUAAUGCAGUGUGAUGUACGUAAGUGCCCAGUCUGUCGCUUUGGCUUGACGUGCACUCAGUACAAGUUUGAUAGCUGUGACCACAUUGGUAUGAUGACGCAAUAUGUCCUCAUACCCCUCAUCCGAGAUGUUGUCAGCAAGUUUCCAAACUGGUUACCAGAGCAACACAUACAAGGAGGAGUUGCUGCCUACAACUUUGGAAUAGGAAAUGUAAGGUCGUGGGCGAACCUUGACGUUGGAACUACGGACGGGGACUACAGCAAUGACGUCAUUGCUCGUGCUCAGUGGCUAGUGAUUGGUUAUAACUGGUAGAGAAAGUGAUAUCGGACAAUGCAAUUUGAUGCAGAAUGGAUAGAUAUUAAUUAUUUUUUCCAAUGUUUAUUGAACUGCGGAUUAAACUGUGCUUGAAAU
rnacentral:misc_RNA from 1 species